rnacentral:snoRNA from 1 species
AGACUCCCCAGGAAGUAGACGCUAAUACAUUUCAAAGGAAAAGGGUGUGCAGUGGGUGCAAACAGCAGCCACCUGGGUAGUAUAUACAGCCUGUUCCCUGUAUAGGUUGCCCUAAGGGACCUUGGAGACAGCC